rnacentral:rRNA from 1 species
AGAGUUUGAUCAUGGCUCAGAUUGAACGCUGGCGGCAGGCCUAACACAUGCAAGUCGAGCGGAUGAGAAGAGCUUGCUCUUCGAUUCAGCGGCGGACGGGUGAGUAAUGCCUAGGAAUCUGCCUGGUAGUGGGGGACAACGUUUCGAAAGGAACGCUAAUACCGCAUACGUCCUACGGGAGAAAGCAGGGGACCUUCGGGCCUUGCGCUAUCAGAUGAGCCUAGGUCGGAUUAGCUAGUUGGUGAGGUAAUGGCUCACCAAGGCGACGAUCCGUAACUGGUCUGAGAGGAUGAUCAGUCACACUGGAACUGAGACACGGUCCAGACUCCUACGGGAGGCAGCAGUGGGGAAUAUUGGACAAUGGGCGAAAGCCUGAUCCAGCCAUGCCGCGUGUGUGAAGAAGGUCUUCGGAUUGUAAAGCACUUUAAGGUGGGAGGAAGGGUUGUAGAUUAAUACUCUGCAAUUUUGACGUUACCGCCAGAAUAAGCACCGGCUAACUCUGUGCCAGCAGCCGCGGUAAUACAGAGGGUGCAAGCGUUAAUCGGAAUUACUGGGCGUAAAGCGCGCGUAGGUGGUUUGUUAAGUCGGAUGUGAAAUCCCCGGGCUCAACCUGGGAACUGCAUCCGAAACUGGCAAGCUAGAGUAUGGUAGAGGGUAGUGGAAUUUCCUGUAGCGGUGAAAUGCGUAGAUAUAGGAAGGAACACCAGUGGCGAAGGCGACUACCUGGACUGAUACUGACACUGAGGUGCGAAAGCGUGGGGAGCAAACAGGAUUAGAUACCCUAGUAGUCC